UCUUCUUGAUUAAGCUGAAUGUCGGCAUUUACAUCAAUUGUGCAUCUAAACACGCCCCAGUGCAACUGUCACAACUCCACAGCAUCAAAACUCUUGUUGAAUCAGCUGGACCAAACCCUUAAUAACCAUGGUUUUACUUUCCCUUUCCCACAAAAAGUCUUAUCCUUUUGCCACUCCCAAGUUUGAAAUGGAGCUGUGGAACUUUGUGUCAGAGAAGAAGAUUCAUGAUCAUGUGCACUUCAUCAAUAAAUCCCUGACUGUAGCUCCCUAUUUGGCUGCAAUUGAUGUGCUUGUCCAGAACUCGCAGAGCCGUUUGGCAUGAGGCACAAAGUGCAGAUGGCAAAAUGUACUGAUAGGAAGCGGGUCAGACUGGCCAUUUUUGGACUGUGCCCACCCAAUUUUUGUUUUUCUACUCAGACCAAUUUGUUGAAUCUGGAGUCAAGUUCUGUGGAUGACUCGUGGGCCCAUGGCACUGAACCAGAUUGGCAACUAAGUCCAAGUCUUUUUCUUGGUUGAGUUCUUUUUUAUUUUUCUUUCAUUCUUUUGUCCCCCUCUGUUGUUAGUCUAUAAAUAUGAUGUUGAACUCAGAAGCUGCCACAUCUUACAUAUAUGCAUGCCAUUCACUCAUGAUUUUUUA